rnacentral:rRNA from 1 species
GGCUCAGAACGACGCCUGGCGGCGUGCCUAACACAUGCAAGUCGCGCGAGAAAACCUCCGCAAGGAGGCCAGUAAAGCGGCGCACGGGUGCGUAACACGUGGGUAAUCUACCCAAGAGUCCGGAACAACCUUCCGAAAGGAGGGCUAAUACUGGAUAAGACCACGGGAACCUUGGUUCCUGAGGUAAAAAGGUGGCCUCUGUACACAAGCUAUCACUCUUGGAGGAGCCCGCGGCCCAUCAGUUAGUUGGCGGGGUAAUGGCCCACCAAGACUGCGACGGGUAGCUGGUCUGAGAGGACGAUCAGCCACACUGGAACUGAGACACGGUCCAGACUCCUACGGGAGGCAGCAGUGGGGAAUUUUGCGCAAUGGGCGAAAGCCUGACGCAGCAACGCCGCGUGAGUGAUGAAGGUCUUCGGAUCGUAAAGCUCUUUCGGCCGGGACGAAACCGGGCUGGCUAACAUCCAGCUCCUUGACGGUACCGGAAGAAGAAGCACCGGCUAACUCUGUGCCAGCAGCCGCGGUAAUACAGAGGGUGCGAGCGUUGUUCGGAAUUAUUGGGCGUAAAGCGCGUGUAGGCGGUGGCGCGUGUCGGGUGUGAAAUCCCUCGGCUUAACCGAGGAAGUGCGCCCGAAACUGCAUCGCUCGAGUGCCGGAGAGGGUGGCGGAAUUCCCGGUGUAGAGGUGAAAUUCGUAGAUAUCGGGAGGAACACCAGUGGCGAAGGCGGCCACCUGGACGGACACUGACGCUGAGACGCGAAAGCGUGGGGAUCAAACAGGAUUAGAUACCCUGGUAGUCCACGCUGUAAACGAUGGGAACUAGGUGUGGUGGGUGUUGACCCCUGCCGUGCCGCAGCUAACGCAUUAAGUUCCCCGCCUG